rnacentral:rRNA from 1 species
GACGAACGCUGGCGGCGUGCCUAAUACAUGCAAGUAGAACGCUGAAGGAGGAGCUUGCUCUUCUGGAUGAGUUGCGAACGGGUGAGUAACGCGUAGGUAACCUGCCUGGUAGCGGGGGAUAACUAUUGGAAACGAUAGCUAAUACCGCAUAACAUUGACUAUUGCAUGAUAGUCAAUUAAAAGGUGUAAAUGCACCACUACCAGAUGGACCUGCGUUGUAUUAGCUAGUUGGUGGGGUAACGGCUCACCAAGGCGACGAUACAUAGCCGACCUGAGAGGGUGAUCGGCCACACUGGGACUGAGACACGGCCCAGACUCCUACGGGAGGCAGCAGUAGGGAAUCUUCGGCAAUGGACGGAAGUCUGACCGAGCAACGCCGCGUGAGUGAAGAAGGUUUUCGGAUCGUAAAGCUCUGUUGUAAGAGAAGAACGAGUGUGAGAGUGGAAAGUUCACACUGUGACGGUAUCUUACCAGAAAGGGACGGCUAACUACGUG